rnacentral:rRNA from 1 species
GGGGAAUAUUGCACAAUGGAGGAAACUCUGAUGCAGCGACGCCGCGUGAGUGAAGAAGUAGUUCGCUAUGUAAAGCUCUAUCAGCAGGGAAGAUAGUGACGGUACCUGACUAAGAAGCUCCGGCUAAAUACGUGCCAGCAGCCGCGGUAAUACGUAUGGAGCAAGCGUUAUCCGGAUUUACUGGGUGUAAAGGGAGUGUAGGUGGCCAGGCAAGUCAGAAGUGAAAGCCCGGGGCUCAACCCCGGGACUGCUUUUGAAACUGCAGGGCUAGAGUGCAGGAGGGGCAAGUGGAAUUCCUAGUGUAGCGGUGAAAUGCGUAGAUAUUAGGAGGAACACCAGUGGCGAAGGCGGCUUGCUGGGCUUUAACUGACGCUGAGGCUCGAAAGCGUGGGGAGCAAACAGGAUUAGAUACCCUGGUAGUCCACGCGGUAAACGAUGAAUACUAGAUGUCGGGUAGCAUAGCUACUCGGUGUCGUCGCAAACGCAAUAAGUAUUCCACCUGGGGAGUACGUUCGCAAGAAUGAAACUCAAAGGAAUUGACGGGGACCCGCACAAGCGGUGGAGCAUGUGGUUUAAUUCGAAGCAACGCGAAGAACCUUACCAAAUCUUGACAUCCCUCUGACCGGGAAGUAAUGUUCCCUUUUCUUCGGAACAGAGGAGACAGGUGGUGCAUGGUUGUCGUCAGCUCGUGUCGUGAGAUGUUGGGUUAAGUCCCGCAACGAGCGCAACCCUUAUUCUUAGUAGCCAGCAGGUAGAGCUGGGCACUCUAGGGAGACUGCCAGGGAUAACCUGGAGGAAGGUGGGGAUGACGUCAAAUCAUCAUGCCCCUUAUGAUUUGGGCUACACACGUGCUACAAUGGCGUAAACAAAGGGAAGCGAAGGGGUGACCUGGAGCAAAUCUCAAAAAUAACGUCUCAGUUCGGAUUGUAGUCUGCAACUCGACUACAUGAAGCUGGAAUCGCUAGUAAUCGCGAAUCAGAAUGUCGCGGUGAAUACGUUCCCG